rnacentral:rRNA from 1 species
CGUGAACCUUUACUAUAGCUUGACACUGAACAUUGAGCCUUGAUGUGUAGGAUAGGUGGGAGGCUUUGAAGUGUGGACGCCAGUCUGCAUGGAGCCGACUUGAAAUACCACCCUUUAAUGUUUGAUGUUCUAACGUUGGCCCGUAAUCCGGGUUGCGGACAGUGUCUGGUGGGUAGUUUGACUGGGGCGGUCUCCUCCUAAA